rnacentral:lncRNA from 10 species
AGUGGUCAGAGUGACCCCAACAGAGUGUCCCGGGACUCAGGCCUCUGAUCAAGUUACCCCCAGAGGAUCAGAGAGGUAGAGAGAGCUGAACCUCUCAUUUAGGAGGGCCGGGGAGGAGAGGGAAUUCUUGAGAUCGCAUUCCCAGGCUCAAAUAGAGGAGGAAAGUGGACAAAGACGUAGUGAAGGGGUUGACGAAGGAGAAGCAUUCAGAGGGCACUGGCUUCUGGACAGCAAUGAGUGCCCGGGCCACGCGGCCCCGAAGCCGGCGAGGGAGGCAUGCUCCACCCGGUGAACUGGAUCCCGUGGCUGAGAGUUCAGAGGAGGUCGAGGCAGCCAGUGGGAGCUCCAAGCCCAGCUUUGCCCCACCUCCGGUGAGCUCCGGGCUGGAGCAGCUGGGCCCCAUGGAGGAGGUCAGUGGCCAAGGCCUAGGAAGCAGGUAAGACCCGCUUGGUCUGUGCCCUUCACUCCAGUCCAGACGCAUCUUUGCCAUCCACAGAUCUGCUGAUGUGCCUGCUCUGCUCACACACCUACCAUAGCUCCCUAUUGCCUUCAGCCUGACUUUCUUUUUUUUUUGAGUCUUGCUGUGUCACCCAGGCUG